rnacentral:rRNA from 1 species
UAAUACGGAGGGUGCAAGCGUUAAUCGGAAUUACUGGGCGUAAAGCGCACGCAGGUGGCUGAGUCAGUCGAUUGUGAAAGCCCUGGGCUUAACCUGGGAAUUGCAGUCGAUACUACUCAGCUAGAGUAUGGGAGAGGGCAGUGGAAUUCCCGGUGUAGCGGUGAAAUGCGUAGAUAUCGGGAGGAACAUCAGUGGCGAAGGCGGCUGCCUGGCCCAAUACUGACACUCAGGUGCGACAGCGUGGGGAGCAAACAGG